UAACUGGAGGACCGAACCGACUAAUGUUGAAAAAUUAGCGGAUGACCUGUGGCUGGGGGUGAAAGGCCAAUCAAACCGGGAGAUAGCUGGUUCUCACCGAAAGCUAUUUAGGUAGCGCCUCGUGAAUUCAUCUCCGGGGGUAGAGCACUGUUUCGGCUAGGGGGCCAUCCCGGCUUACCAACCCGAUGCAAACUGCGAAUACCGGAGAAUGUUAUCACGGGAGACACACGGCGGGUGCUAACGUCCGUCGUGAAGAGGGAAACAACCCAGACCGCCAGCUAAGGUCCCAAAGUCAUGGUUAAGUGGGAAACGAUGUGGGAAGGCCCAGACAGCCAGGAUGUUGGCUUAGAAGCAGCCAUCAUUUAAAGAAAGCGUAAUAGCUCACUGGUCGAGUCGGCCUGCGCGGAAGAUGUAACGGGGCUAAACCAUGCACCGAAGCUGCGGCAGCGACACUGUGUGUUGUUGGGUAGGGGAGCGUUCUGUAAGCCUGUGAAGGUGUGUCGUGAGGCAUGCUGGAGGUAUCAGAAGUGCGAAUGCUGACAUAAGUAACGAUAAAGCGGGUGAAAAGCCCGCUCGCCGGAAGACCAAGGGUUCCUGUCCAACGUUAAUCGGGGCAGGGUGAGUCGACCCCUAAGGCGAGGCCGAAAGGCGUAGUCGAUGGGAAACGGGUUAAUAUUCCCGUACUUGGUGUUACUGCGAAGGGGGGACGGAGAAGGCUAUGUUGGCCGGGCGACGGUUGUCCCGGUUUAAGCGUGUAGGUGUGUGUUCCAGGUAAAUCCGGUUCACUUUAACACUGAGGCGUGAUGA
rnacentral:rRNA from 1 species